rnacentral:rRNA from 1 species
AUUGAACGCUGGCGGCAUGCUUUACACAUGCAAGUCGAACGGGCCCUUCGGGGUCAGUGGCAGACGGGUGAGUAACGCGUGGGAACGUGCCCUUCAGUUCGGGAUAACCCAGGGAAACUUGGGCUAAUACCGGAUACGUGCGAGAGCAGAAAGAUUUAUCGCUGAAGGAUCGGCCCGCGUCUGAUUAGCUGGUUGGUGGGGUAAUGGCCCACCAAGGCGACGAUCAGUAGCUGGUCUGAGAGGAUGAUCAGCCACAUUGGGACUGAGACACGGCCCAAACUCCUACGGGAGGCAGCAGUGGGGAAUAUUGGACAAUGGGCGCAAGCCUGAUCCAGCCAUGCCGCGUGAGUGAUGACGGCCUUAGGGUUGUAAAGCUCUUUCGCACGCGACGAUAAUGACGGUAGCGUGAGAAGAAGCCCCGGCUAACUUCGUGCCAGCCGCCGCCGUAAUAC